GGUACGGUCACUCUGGCCCAGAUGGCGCCUGCCUGCGGGGAGGGGCCCCUUGCGGUGAGAAGCCCCUCACUCAUCUCACACUGGCAGGGAGUGGAGUUCACUCUACAGAUCCCAGUGGAGUCAGAGGCCUGGACGCAGGGUCCCCUGCUCCCCCUCAGAGCACAGGUGUGAGUUCCUGUCUCCCCUGACCUCCUCGAGGGGACCAGAGGUGAGUACAUGUGGAUGGCAUGCUGGGGGUGGGCACAGUGGCACUGGCUUUGCAUUGACCACAGGCUUUUCUCUUGGCUAAUUCCAGAUGGAAAGGAAUGAACUGCAGCCGUGAAGGAUGCUCCUUUGUCAUCCGGGCUGGGUGGGGAGGCCCCAGACGGGAGAGGAGAUGGCCUGAGCAUGCCAGCUCUGCUCUCCUGCUCCCCAGGGUGGCAAGGCCACCGACACCUCUGUCCCAUCAAAGAGGGAAAACUCAUCAAGGGUUCAUGCCAGGCUGGGAAACAUCACAACAGAGAUGGACCGAAUGCCUUAACCCCGACUCCCCAUAACUUAAAGAGCCAGCUAGCCAGAUGCAAACGCGCGCACCAAGGCGAAGACUGAGCUUAAACUCAUCAACCAGGAGGGAAGGCUCUUCUGCCUGCGUCCUGCCUGGGACACACUCGGCCACGCUGCUGCAGUGCAACCACGGCCACCACGGGCACCGCAUCGCACCCGCCGCCCUCACCCACCUUCUU